rnacentral:rRNA from 1 species
UGGGUGACUGCGGAGGUCAUUACCGAGUGAGGGCCCUUUGGGUCCAACCUCCCACCCGUGUUUAUUUUACCUUGUUGCUUCGGCGGGCCCGCCUUUACUGGCCGCCGGGGGGCUCACGCCCCCGGGCCCGCGCCCGCCGAAGACACCCCCGAACUCUGUCUGAAGAUUGAAGUCUGAGUGAAAAUAUAAAUUAUUUAAAACUUUCAACAACGGAUCUCUUGGUUCCGGCAUCGAUGAAGAACGCAGCGAAAUGCGAUACGUAAUGUGAAUUGCAAAUUCAGUGAAUCAUCGAGUCUUUGAACGCACAUUGCGCCCCCUGGUAUUCCGGGGGGCAUGCCUGUCCGAGCGUCAUUGCUGCCCUCAAGCCCGGCUUGUGUGUUGGGCCCCGUCCUCCGAUUCCGGGGGACGGGCCCGAAAGGCAGCGGCGGCACCGCGUCCGGUCCUCGAGCGUAUGGGGCUUUGUCACCCGCUCUGUAGGCCCGGCCGGCGCUUGCCGAUCAACCCAAAUUUUUAUCCAGGUUGACCUCGGAUCAGGUAGGGAUACCCGCUGAACUUAAGCAUAUCUAA